rnacentral:rRNA from 1 species
GAAACUCGCCUCCAUGAAGUUGGAUUCGCUAGUAAUCGCGCAUCAGCCAUGGCGCGGUGAAUACGUUCCCGGGCCUUGUACACACCGCCCGUCAAGCCAUGGGAGUUGGGGGGUGCCUGAAGUACGUGACCGCAAGGAGCGUCCUAGGGCAAAAACCGAUGACUGGGGGCUAAGUCGUAACAAGGUAAC